rnacentral:lncRNA from 1 species
UUCUAUCACUUUCAAAAUCAUCCAGCUGGAAAAUGAGGCAAAGGAGAUGAAAGAUGAAGCAAAGGAGAUGAAAGACGAGAUAAAGAGGAUGAAAGACAAUCUUCAAAGAAACUCAGACCAGAAGGAAAAAGACGACCAAAAAGCCAAAGAUGAAAUCCAAUCUUUAAGAACCCGAGUAAAACAACUAGAAUCAAGUGACCUCACAAGGCAGCAGGACACUAUAAGACAAAACAAAAAGAAUGAAAAAUUGAGGGAAAUGUGAAGCAUCUCAUUCACAAAACAGACGAUUUAGAAAAUCGUUCAAGAAGAGACAAUUUAAGAAUAAUUGGACUACCAGAAGACCACGACAAAAGAAAAAGCCUGGACAUAAUACUAGAGGAAAUUAUCCAGGAAAACUGUCCCGAAAUCCUAGAACAAGAAGGGAAAGUGGAGAUUGAAAGAAUCCACAGAUCACCCCCUGUUUUUAAUCCCCAACUGACAACACCAAGAAAUGUUAUAGCCAAAUUCAAAAACAAUCAGAUAAAAGAACAGGUAUUACAAGCUGCCAAAAAGAAACCAUUCAGAUACCAUGGAAACAUGGUGAGGAUAACACAGGAUCUUUCUGCAUCCACACUGAAGGACCGAAAGGCAUGGAAUAUGAUAUUCCGGAAAGCAAGGGAACUAGGCCUACAGCCAAGAAUAAAAUACCCAUCAAAACUGACUAUAUUCUUACAGGGGAAAGUAUGGUCAUUUAACACAACAGAGGAAUUCCAAGCAUUCAUAAAUAAAAGACCAGACCUGAACAGAAAAUUUGAAGUCCAACCACAGAAUUCAAGAGAAUCAUCAAAAGGCACUAUGCUGAGAACUGGGAUAUCAAGCCAAUCCCUACCUGAAAGGACUUUACAUUCUCAUGGAGGAAGACAACCUUAUAGAGAAAACUGGAAUGGAGGAACACAUAGCCCCCAUCUCCCACAAUUCCUCGACCUUCAUACCAUAACAAGGUUUGGAAAUGGUGGCUCCAAAGUGAUGGAGAUGACCAGUUCUGGACAAGAUAGACAUUUCUCAGACCCCGGGGUGAUUGCAGGGAUGGAGUCUAAAGUUCUGGUGGGAUGCGGAUGA